rnacentral:lncRNA from 1 species
GAUUAACCUAGCUAGAAACUUGGUGAGCUUUUCUUGUGCGCAACAUAUGUUAUGAUUGGUUCUGUGCCAGUAUUUCAAUCUUAGGAAGUUUGAACUCCGAAAGUAUUGCAGUGGGUUGGUAAGAGAACUCGAACUGCCUGAAACCGAUUAGACUGAGCUUACUUGAGACUUGAACCUGUUUAGGCUAGUGUGCUCUUGCGUAUCCUCAAUGGACCUAAUUUGACUGAAUAUAUGGAAUGUGGACUUGAAUUUUGUGACUGUUUAAGAAUG